UCUAACAUGUGCGCGAGUCAUUGGGAAGAAAUAAAACCUAAAGGCGAAAUGAAAGUGAAGAUCGGCCUUAGCGUCGAUCUAGGGAGGAUGGGCGCCGUAACCAUGGCGCCUCGCACUCCCGGGGCGUCUCGUUCUCACUGCGAGAAGAGGCGCACCUAGAGCGUACACGUUGGGACCCGAAAGAUGGUGAACUAUGCCUGGUCAGGACGAAGUCAGGGGAAACCCUGAUGGAGGUCCG
rnacentral:rRNA from 1 species